GACGAACGCUGGCGGCGUGCCUAAUACAUGCAAGUUGAGCGCUGAAGGUUGGUACUUGUACCAACUGGAUGAGCAGCGAACGGGUGAGUAACGCGUGGGGAAUCUGCCUUUGAGCGGGGGACAACAUUUGGGAACGAAUGCUAAUACCGCAUAAAAACUUUAAACACAAGUUUUAAGUUUGAAAGAUGCAAUUGCAUCACUCAAAGAUGAUCCCGCGUUGUAUUAGCUAGUUGGUGAGGUAAAGGCUCACCAAGGCGAUGAUACAUAGCCGACCUGAGAGGGUGAUCGGCCACAUUGGGACUGAGACACGGCCCAAACUCCUACGGGAGGCAGCAGUAGGGAAUCUUCGGCAAUAGACGAAAGUCUGACCGAGCAACGCCGCGUGAGUGAAGAAGGUUUUCGGAUCGUAAAACUCUGUUGGUAGAGAAGAACGUUGGUGAGAGUGGAAAGCUCAUCAAGUGACGGUAACUACCCAGAAAGGGACGGCUAACUACGUG
rnacentral:rRNA from 1 species